ensembl:lncRNA
GCUAGCUAUGUCCGUGGCCAUUGCGUUGUCAGUAUGUUGUUGAGAUUGUGUUUUCAUGUGUAAUCUAACCUACCAUAAUAUACAUUUUUUUCAUGAAAACGUGUUUAACAAGCUAAGGGCUUGAACUGUUAUCAGAUUUACUUCUAGAAACACAAUGAAGAGAAAGACAUCACUCGAACCAUCCACUUCAGAGAAAAGUGUCAAGCUGGUGAGGUCAGACUCACCUGCAUCCAGCUAUGUGUCUCUAAAGACAUUGGAUCCACCAGCAAACUUCAAAGAAGAAUUUGGACUUCAUUUAAGAGUAAAGCGGGAGAGAUCAGAGUCACCUGCACCCAGCUGUGUGUCAAUAAGGUCAAUGGAUCUACAAGGAAAGUUCAAAGAAGAAUUCACGCCUGAUUCAAGUGAGUUCAUAGCCAGUCUGUUGACCGAGGACCUCUUCAGAUGUACAGUGUGUACUGAUGUGCUGAAGGACCCGGUCUCCAUCCCCUGUGGGCACAGUUACUGCAAACAGUGCAUCACCUCAUACUGGCCCAGCCUAACCAUGCAGGACACUAUGCCUGUCCCCAAUGCCCACAGUCAUACAGCUCCCAUCCUGCACUUUACACAAACUCAGCCUUAGCAGAAGUGGUCCUGAAGCUCCAGCAGUUCAGUCCUGUUCUACCUACUCACUGCUACGCUGGUCCUGGAGAUGUGGCCUGUGAUUUCUGCACUGGGAGGAAACUCCGAGCUGUGAAAUCCUGUCUGACCUGCACUGCCUCUUAUUGUGAGUCUCAUGUCAGGCAGCACUACACAGUUCCAGCCCUGCAGAGACACAGACUGGUGGAACCUGGAUACCAAGACAAAAAACUCCUGGAUCAGUGUGACAUUAAAACGGGAGACUUGAAACAGAAUGACCAAAGCCAUUGGCACAUGGUAGGAAAGGAUGGAAAGCAUCUGGACCAGAUUACAGCUGUUUUGCAAAACUGUGAGACGCUGAAUGCUACACACAGAAAUCUGCAGGAGAAGUUGCUGCAGAAGCUACUGGUGCUUCCACAAAGGCUGCAGGAGCUGCCAGAGUUGCAAGAGAUGCAGAAACUGCUUCAACAACAGCAGCAGAAGCUGCAGGAGCUUCGGCAGGAGCAGCUACGGCGGCAGGAGCAGCAUCUGCAGGAGCAGCAUCUGCAGGAGCAGCAGCGGCAGGAACAGCAGCGGCAGGAUCAGCAGCGGCAAGAGCAGCAACUGCAGGAGCAGGAGCAGCAGCGGCAGGAGCAAGAGCAGCAGCGUCAGGAAC